rnacentral:rRNA from 1 species
AGAACGAACGCUGGCGGCGUGCCUAACACAUGCAAGUCGCGCGGGAAAGUUCCCUUCGGGGAGCGAGUAUAGCGGCGCACGGGUGAGUAAUACGUAGGUAACCUGCCCUCGAGACUGGGACAACCUGUCGAAAGACGGGCUAAUACCGGAUAAGACCACGGGAGCUGCGGCUCCUGCGGUAAAAGGUGGCCUCUGCUUGCAAGCUAUCACUUGAGGAUGGGCCUGCGCGCCAUUAGCUAGUUGGUGAGGUAACGGCUCACCAAGGCAGAGAUGGCUAGCUGGUCUGAGAGGAUGACCAGCCACACUGGGACUGAGACACGGCCCAGACUCCUACGGGAGGCAGCAGUGGGGAAUAUUGCGCAAUGGGCGAAAGCCUGACGCAGCGACGCCGCGUGGGUGAUGAAGGCCUUCGGGUCGUAAAGCCCUGUCGGGAGGGACGAACCAUCGGCGACUUAAUACGUCGUCGACUUGACGGUACCUCCUAAGGAAGCACCGGCUAACUCCGUGCCAGCAGCCGCGGUAAUACGGAGGGUGCAAGCGUUGUUCGGAAUCACUGGGCGUAAAGCGCGUGUAGGCGGCCUCCUAAGUCUGGUGUGAAAGCCCGGGGCUUACCCCCGGAAGUGCACUGGAAACUGGGAGACUAGAGUACCGGAGAGGAGGGUGGAAUUCCUGGUGUAGCGGUGAAAUGCGUAGAUAUCAGGAAGAACACCGGUGGCGAAGGCGGCCCUCUGGACGGAUACUGACGCUGAGACGCGAAAGCGUGGGGAGCAAACAGGAUUAGAUACCCUGGUAGUCCACGCUGCAAACGAUGGGCACUAGGUGCUCGGGGUAUUGACCCCCUGGGUGCCGUAGCUAACGCAUUAAGUGC